rnacentral:rRNA from 1 species
AGUGAACGCUGGCGGUAGGCCUAACACAUGCAGUCGCACGGCAGCACAGUAAGAGCUUGCUCUUACGGGUGGCGAGUGGCGGACGGGUGAGGAAUACAUCGGAAUCUACUUUUUCGUGGGGGAUAACGUAGGGAAACUUACGCUAAUACCGCAUACGACCUACGGGUGAAAGCAGGGGAUCUUCGGACCUUGCGCGAUUGAAUGAGCCGAUGUCGGAUUAGCUAGUUGGCGGGGUAAAGGCCCACCAAGGCGACGAUCCGUAGCUGGUCUGAGAGGAUGAUCAGCCACACUGGAACUGAGACACGGUCCAGACUCCUACGGGAGGCAGCAGUGGGGAAUAUUGGACAAUGGGCGCAAGCCUGAUCCAGCCAUACCGCGUGGGUGAAGAAGGCCUUCGGGUCGUAAAGCCCUUUUGUUGGGAAAGAAAAGCAGCAGGUUAAUACCCCGCUGUUCUGACGGUACCCAAAGAAUAAGCACCGGCUAACUUCGUG